rnacentral:rRNA from 1 species
AGUGGGGAAUUUUGGACAAUGGGGGCAACCCUGAUCCAGCCAUGCCGCGUGCGGGAAGAAGGCCUUCGGGUUGUAAACCGCUUUUGUCAGGGAAGAAACGCUCUGGGUUAAUACCCUGGGGUAAUGACGGUACCUGAAGAAUAAGCACCGGCUAACUACGUGCCAGCAGCCGCGGUAAUACGUAGGGUGCGAGCGUUAAUCGGAAUUACUGGGCGUAAAGCGUGCGCAGGCGGUUGUGCAAGACAGGUGUGAAAUCCCCGGGCUUAACCUGGGAACUGCACUUGUGACUGUACGGCUGGAGUACGGCAGAGGGGGAUGGAAUUCCGCGUGUAGCAGUGAAAUGCGUAGAUAUGCGGAGGAACACCGAUGGCGAAGGCAGUCCCCUGGGCCUGUACUGACGCUCAUGCACGAAAGCGUGGGGAGCAAA